CCUACGGGUGGCAGCAGUGAGGAAUAUUGGUCAAUGGACGAGAGUCUGAACCAGCCAAGUAGCGUGAAGGAUGACUGCCCUAUGGGUUGUAAACUUCUUUUAUAUGGGAAUAAAAUGUUCCACGUGUGGGAUUUUGUAUGUACCAUAUGAAUAAGGAUCGGCUAACUCCGUGCCAGCAGCCGCGGUAAUACGGAGGAUGCGAGUGUUAUCCGGAUUUAUUGGGUUUAAAGGGUGCGUAGGUGGGUUUUUAAGUCAGUUGUGAAAAUUUGUGGCUCAACCGUAAAAUUGCAGUUGAAACUGGCAGUCUUGAGUACAGUAGAGGUAGGCGGAAUUCGUGGUGUAGCGGUGAAAUGCUUAGAUAUCACGAAGAACACCGAUUGCGAAGGCAGUUCACUGGACUGCAACUGACACUGAGGCUCGAAAGUGUGGGUAUCAAACAGGAUUAGAUACCCCAGUAGUC
rnacentral:rRNA from 1 species